rnacentral:rRNA from 1 species
GACGAACGCUGGCGGCGUGCUUAACACAUGCAAGUCGAACGGUAAGGCCCUUCGGGGUACACGAGUGGCGAACGGGUGAGUAACACGUGGGUGAUCUGCCCUGCACUUCGGGAUAAGCCUGGGAAACUGGGUCUAAUACCGGAUAGGACCACUGCCUGCAUGGGUGGUGGUGGAAAGCUUUUGCGGUGUGGGAUGGGCCCGCGGCCUAUCAGCUUGUUGGUGGGGUGAUGGCCUACCAAGGCGACAACGGGUAGGCGGCCUGAGAGGGGGACCGGCCACACUGGGACUGGGAUACGGCCCAGACUCCUACGGGAGGCAGCAGUGGGGAAUAUUGCACAAUGGGCGCAAGCCUGAUGCAGCGACGCCGCGUGAGGGAUGACGGCCUUCGGGUUGUAAACCUCUUUCAGCACCGACGAAGCGCAAGUGACGGUAGGUGCAGAAGAAGGACCGGCCAACUACGUGCCAGCAGCCGCCGUAA